rnacentral:rRNA from 1 species
UACAGAGGGGGCAAGCGUUGUUCGGAAUUACUGGGCGUAAAGGGCGCGUAGGCGGCCUUCUAAGUCGAACGUGAAAUCCCCGGGCUCAACCCGGGAACUGCGUCCGAUACUGGAAGGCUUGAAUCCGGGAGAGGGAUGCGGAAUUCCAGGUGUAGCGGUGAAAAUGCGUAGAUAUCGGGAAGGAACACCAGUGGCGAAGGCGGCUCACUGGACCGGUACUAGACGCUGAGGCGCGAAAGCGUGGGGAG